AACGCGAAGAACCUUACCUACUCUUGACAUCCAGAGAACUUAGCAGAGAUGCUUUGGUGCCUUCGGGAACUCUGAGACAGGUGCUGCAUGGCUGUCGUCAGCUCGUGUUGUGAAAUGUUGGGUUAAGUCCCGCAACGAGCGCAACCCUUAUCCUUUGUUGCCAGCGGUUAGGCCGGGAACUCAAAGGAGACUGCCAGUGAUAAACUGGAGGAAGGUGGGGAUGACGUCAAGUCAUCAUGGCCCUUACGAGUAGGGCUACACACGUGCUACAAUGGCGCAUACAAAGAGAAGCGACCUCGCGAGAGCAAGCGGACCUCAUAAAGUGCGUCGUAGUCCGGAUUGGAGUCUGCAACUCGACUCCAUGGAGUCGGAAUCGCUAGUAAUCGUGGAUCAGAAUGCCACGGUGAAUACGUUCCCGGGUCUUGUACACACCG
rnacentral:rRNA from 1 species